rnacentral:tRNA from 1 species
GGUCUCUUGGCCCAGUUGGUUAAGGCACCGUGCUGAUAACGCGGGGAUCAGCGGUUCGAUCCCGCUAGAGACCACCA